UAAGCCUUCUUUACUCAAACUAUAUACCACGAAUUCCCACCAUCCGAAGCGUUAGAAGCCGCGGAUUCAAAUGAUGGCAACCCCAAAUGGAGGCAACCUGGAGAUACUAAUGCUAGAGGCGCCGCCGGAGUCGACUGCGGCGGCGCCGGCUGAAAUGAUCGACGCUCUGCCUUACAUUGAUGAUGACUAUGGCGAUCCGAAAGUUAAAGAAGAAGUGGACCGGUUAGUGGAAGAAGAGAUGCGACGUAGCUCCAAGAAACCCUCCGACUUCCUCAAAGACCUUCCUCCUCUCCCCAAAUUCAAGUUUGAGGGUCAUCCAAUGCUUGCUAGGGAAUAUGAGAGAGUCAGAGCUGGGAAGCCUCCAGUGCAGAUGGAUACAUCCAGAUAUGGACUUGAAGUGCCGCCUGUAAACAAACGGAAUGAUGAGACUGCAUGGAGGCAGGCACUGCAGAGAGCCCAGCGUCUGUUGCAGCAUCAAGUAAUCAGGCUUGAGAAUCUAGACUUGAUGUCAAAGCAUGGCCCUGAAGUUUGGAAGUUGUAUAAUCAACAGCUGGAGGCAUUUCUAUCAAGAAUGCAAUCACAAGUUCUGGAGCUGAAUGGAAAGAUUGAAGCUGUAAAUCGAGAGAGGAAGUAUCACCAGCAACACACGGCCUAUGAGCUCAAUGCUUUGUCUACCCAGUGGAGGGAACUCUGUCUGAAAAACAUUGAAAUCCAAACUGCAUGUGCGGAAAUUGAAAGCCGAAUUGAAGAACUCAAAAGCGAAGCUGCUAGAAGGGGCUGGAAUUUGGAGGCACGUAUUGAGAAUGGGCCCUCUGCACAGGCUGAAAAUUGAGGUUUGAAUGAUGUAUCUUGGCUGCUUUUGUCUUCUUGGAUGAUUGCAUUCUAGUAGUGAAUCAAUGGAUGAAUAUAAUGGAGCAGGAGUUGCUCAAAAGGAUGGAAGGUCCAAGAAGACCGCUUAGUCAUUAUGCAGAUUGAAGUUGCUAUGUCGUUGAUCUCCACUGCUGCAUCAACUGUGCUGCCAUUUUGUUUACAAGUCCCCAGCAACACGAGGAAGAGUUUGAUAUUCUGUUGAUCCUCCGUUGGGAAUUUUCAUGCAUUACGUUUUGUUUUGGCCUCAGUUGAAGCCUCUCUUUUAGUUCUGCCAUUUUGAGUAGUAUUUAGAUCUGCUUAAGACAUAAUUUGUCGUCUUGUUUGUAAGAUCUCCAAAGAUAACUAUUUCGUUGAAAGUCAUGCAUAGGAUCGAGUGGUAUCAACGUGUCAGAUUAAAGACAACAAGAUAAGAGGAAGGAAACGAACCAUCUGCCAUUCACAAUAUGAGUUGGUUAGCGUUACGGAAUGCACAUGGAUUUGGUCAAGUUUACAUGAACAAUCUAAUUGUACUCUUUAGAGUGGGUUGUUUUCAAACUUUCUAAGAUUUGAUCUAA